CCGGGCAGCCACGGGGGUCUGAGCUAAGUGAGCGCCGAGAAGCACCUGGGGAGUCUCCGGCCACCUUUCCUUCGUCAGGAAUCUCAUCUUUAACAAGCUCCAGGGUGACUGACACCGAGGUUUAGGGGUCUCACUUUGAGAACCAUGGCCCAUGAGACUAAGCAUUGAUGAGGGUGAUGAAGAUUCCUUCAUCACCGAGAAUCUUAGACCUUAAAUUAAGACCUGAAAGGCUGCCUGUCUAGGGUUGCCACAUUUAGCAAAUAAACAUCCAAGACAUCUACUGCAUUUGAAUUUCAGAACCAGUAGACCAGAAGCCACCGGGAUCAAAGACAUGAUGCUGAGGGGACCAGAGUCUUACCCCUUUCCUUCUACUCCAAACAUUAUGGGAACAAGGACCACAAGCGCCAUCUCUGCC